UACGUAGGGUGCAAGCGUUAAUCGGAAUUACUGGGCGUAAAGCGUGCGCAGGCGGUCUUGCAAGACAGAUGUGAAAUCCCCGGGCUCAACCUGGGAACUGCAUUUGUGACUGCAAGGCUGGAGUGCGGCAGAGGGGGAUGGAAUUCCGCGUGUAGCAGUGAAAUGCGUAGAUAUCAGGAGGAACACCGGUGGCGAAGGCGGCUUUCUGGACAGUAACUGACGCUGAGGCGCGAAAGCUAGGGGAGCAAACAGG
rnacentral:rRNA from 1 species